rnacentral:rRNA from 1 species
GAUGAACGCUGGCGGCGUGCUUAACACAUGCAAGUCGAACGAUGAAGCCCAGCUUGCUGGGUGGGUUAGUGGCGAACGGGUGAGUAACACGUGAGCAACCUGCCCCUGACUCUGGGAUAAGCGCUGGAAACGGCGUCUAAUACUGGAUAUGUCCCGUCACCGCAUGGUGUGCGGGUGGAAAGAUUUUUCGGUUGGGGAUGGGCUCGCGGCCUAUCAGCUUGUUGGUGAGGUAAUGGCUCACCAAGGCGUCGACGGGUAGCCGGCCUGAGAGGGUGACCGGCCACACUGGGACUGAGACACGGCCCAGACCCCUACGGGAGGCAGCAGUGGGGAAUAUUGCACAAUGGGCGGAAGCCUGAGGCAGCAACGCCGCGUGAGGGAUGACGGCCUUCGGGUUGUAAACCUCUUUUAGAAGGGAAGAAGCGAAAGUGACGGUACCUGCAGAAAAAGCACCGGCUAACUACGUG